CAUUGUAUAUAUCUGACUCAGACAAGCGAAAGCACUUCAUGUUGUCUGUAAAGAUGUUCUAUGGCAACAGUGAUGACAUUGGUGUGUUCCUCAGCAAGCGGAUAAAAGUCAUCUCCAAACCUUCCAAAAAGAAGCAGUCAUUGAAAAAUGCUGACUUAUGCAUUGCCUCAGGAACAAAGGUGGCUCUGUUUAAUCGACUACGAUCCCAGACAGUUAGUACCAGAUACUUGCAUGUAGAAGGAGGUAAUUUUCAUGCCAGUUCACAGCAGUGGGGAGCCUUUUUUAUUCAUCUCUUGGAUGAUGAUGAAUCAGAAGGAGAAGAAUUCACAGUCCGAGAUGGCUACAUCCAUUAUGGACAAACAGUCAAACUUGUGUGCUCAGUUACUGGCAUGGCACUCCCAAGAUUGGUAUGGCUCUACUUUUGCUUUAGUGAUAAUGUGAAGUAAAAAUUAAUUCCUUAAACAGGAAAAUCACAACAUUCAAAUGGAAAAACACACCUCAGUUUUAUGCUUUUUAAUUUUAAAAGGUAUGUUAGUAAUCAGUGCUGUUUAUAAUUGACAGUUAUGCUCUACCUUAUUUCAGAAAUGCUUUAAGGUAAUAGCCAGUUUUUACAAGUACAUUCUUAAUGAUUUUUUCUUAAAUGAUUUCCAAUAUAUUU
rnacentral:sRNA from 1 species